CCUUCUCCUAAGCUUUUUAACAACCUUCGGUGGCGUCACAGCAGUUUCCCGUGAAGGUAGUUUUUCUUCUUUCUCUGUUACUGUGAUUUCAUUCGUUUCAUUGGCUGGCAGAAUCUCCUUUGUUAUCUCUGUUCGUUCUGUUAUCAGAGGUCCAUCGCCAUUUUCGGUAACAUUCUUAGUCUCCACAGAAGUCUCCUUAAUGGUUUCCUGUGAAGGUAGUUUUUCUUCUUUCUCUGUUACUACAACGUCAUUCGUUUUAUUGUCGGGCAGAAUCUCCUUUGUUAUCUCUGUUCGUUCUGUUAUCAGAGGUCCAUCGACAUUUUCUGUAACAUUCUUAGUCUCGAGAGAAGUCUCCUUAAUGGUUUCCUGUGAAGGUAGUUUUUCUUCUUUUUCUGUUACUACAACUUCAUUCGUUUUAUUGCCGGGCAGAAUCUCCUUUGUUAUCUCUGUUCGUUCUGUUAUCAGGGGUCCAUCGACAUUUUCUGUAACAUUCUUAGUCUCGAGAGAAGUCUCCUUAAUGGUUUCCUGUGUAGGUAGUUUUUCUUCUUUUUCUGUUACUUCAACUUCAUUCGUUUUAUUGCCGGGCAGAAUCUCCUUUGUUAUCUCUGUUCGUUCUGUUAUCAGAGGUCCAUCGACAUUUUCGGUAACAUUCUUAGUCUCGAGAGAAGUCUCCUUAAUGGUUUCCUGUGAAGGUAGUUUUUCUUCUUUUUCUGUUACUACAACUUCAUUCGUUUUAUUGCCGGGCAGAAUCUCCUUUGUUAUCUCUGUUCGUUCUACUUUAUGAGGUCCAUCGCUCUUUUCUGUUGCGUUCCUUCCCUCCACAAAUGUCAUCGUAAUGCUUUUCUGUGAAGGUAGUUUUUCUUCUUUCUCUGUUACUAAAGUUUCAUUCGUUUUAUUACCGGGCAGAAUCUCCUUUGUUAUCUCUGUUCGUUCUGUUAUCAGAGGUCCAUCGCCAUUUUCUGUAACAUUCUUAGUCUCCACAGAAGUCUCCUUAAUGGUUUCCUGUGAAGGUAGUUUUUCUUCUUUUUCUGUUACUACAACUUCAUUCGUUUUAUUGCCGGGCAGAAUCUCCUUUGUUAUCUCUGUUCGUUCUACUUUAUGAGGUCCAUCGCUCUUUUCUGUAGCGUUCCUCCCCUCCACAAAUGUCAUCGUAAUGCUGUUCUGUGAAGGUAGUCUUUCUUCUUUCUCUGUUACUAAAGUUUCAUUCGUUUUAUUGCCUGGCAGAAUCUCCUUUGUUACCUCUGUUCGUUCU